rnacentral:rRNA from 1 species
UACGUAGGGCGCAAGCGUUGUCCGGAAUUAUUGGGCGUAAAGAGCUCGUAGGCGGCUUGUCACGUCGGAUGUGAAAGCCCGAGGCUUAACCUCGGGUCUGCAUUCGAUACGGGCUAGCUAGAGUGUGGUAGGGGAGAUCGGAAUUCCUGGUGUAGCGGUGAAAUGCGCAGAUAUCAGGAGGAACACCGGUGGCGAAGGCGGAUCUCUGGGCCGAAAUUGACGCUGAGGAGCGAAAGCGUGGGGAGCAAACAGG